rnacentral:sRNA from 1 species
CCCUAGCCCCGAUUGCAAUGAAAAUCCUUUUUUGCAAAAAAAGAUUGCAAUGUAAAGCGGGAAAUAGC